AUGAUUAUUAUCAAGUUAGAUAACAAUCUUCUCUUUUUUAUUUUUUUACCUCAUUUAAUCGGCACCACCUCACCACUCAAUCUUACUUGCUAAAAUAAACUUUAAUGUUAUCUUAUUAUUAUAAGUAGAUAGAGAUUCUUUGAAUUGCUAUUGCUAGAAUCGGUUUUUGAGAAGAGAAAGAGAAGAAUAAAUGAUGUGAUAAGUGAAGAAUAAAUACGACAGAUUUAUUAAGGAGAGAAAGAGAAGAGAGAGGAUGGAAAAAGGAAUUGAAGAGGUUGGAGCAUUGAAUUGAAGAGAUGCCAGCCAAAGAAGAAAGGAGUUAAUGCAGAGAGGAUGUGCAUAUGUAUGCAUUUAUGAAAGGAUUACAUUGAAGCUUUUAUUGCUUGCUAGCUUAUUUUCCUUAUCAUUAUUAUUCUGAAAUUGAAAUACAUACAUAUGGGGAGAAAUAUUAUUAAUUA